rnacentral:rRNA from 1 species
UACGAAGGGGGCUAGCGUUGCUCGGAAUCACUGGGCGUAAAGCGCACGUAGGCGGGUCUUUAAGUCGGAGGUGAAAUCCUGGAGCUCAACUCCAGAACUGCCUCGAUACUGAGGAUCUCGAGUCCGGGAGAGGUGAGUGGAACUGGCGAGUGUAGAGGUGAAAUUCGUAGAUAUUCGCAAGAACACCAGUGGCGAAGGCGGCUCACUGGCCCGGUACUGACGCUGAGGUGCGAAAGCGUGGGGAG